GUCCCUGUAAUGCAAUGGAUAACAUGUUGGACUUCUAAUCCAAAGGUCGUGGGCAGAAAUCCCACCUGGGAUG
rnacentral:tRNA from 1 species